GAUGAACGCUGGCGGCGUGCUUAACACAUGCAAGUCGAGCGAGUGAGUUCUUCGGAACGAUCUAGCGGCGGACGGGUGAGUAACACGUGGGCAACCUGCCUCAUAGAGGGGAAUAGCCUCCCGAAAGGGAGAUUAAUACCGCAUAACAUCGUUGAAGGGCAUCCUUUGAUGAUCAAAGGAGCAAUCCGCUAUGAGAUGGGCCCGCGGCGCAUUAGCUAGUUGGUGAGGUAACGGCUCACCAAGGCGACGAUGCGUAGCCGACCUGAGAGGGUGAUCGGCCACAUUGGGACUGAGACACGGCCCAGACUCCUACGGGAGGCAGCAGUGGGGAAUAUUGCACAAUGGGGGAAACCCUGAUGCAGCAAUGCCGCGUGAGUGAUGACGGCCUUCGGGUUGUAAAGCUCUGUCUUUGGGGACGAUAAUGACGGUACCCAAGGAGGAAGUCACGGCUAACUACGUGCCAGCAGCCGCAGUAA
rnacentral:rRNA from 1 species